rnacentral:lncRNA from 1 species
GGAAGGCGAAGUAUGAGCCUUGUAGCAAGGUCUAAAAAAUUGAAUUUACCAGUCCCCGAGCAUAUCAUGCUCGUCUGCAAUUGAAUAGACUGAUCGACCAGUCUCCGAGCAUAUAACGCUUGGUGGUCGGUACAGUCCCCGAAUUCUCAAAUUGGUGGGCUGGUCGACCAGUCCCCGAGCGUAUAGUGCUCGGUGGUCGGUGCAGUCCCCAAGUUCAUAAAUUGGUGAGCUG